rnacentral:rRNA from 1 species
AUUGAACGCUGGCGGCAGGCCUAACACAUGCAAGUCGAGCGGAGCGGCGGAAGGGUGAGUAAUGCCUAGGGAUCUGCCUGGUAGUGGGGGAUAACGUCCGGAAACGGGCGCUAAUACCGCAUACUAUCAGAGCAGCCUAGGUCGGAUUAGCUAGUUGGUGGGGUAAAGGCUUACCAAGGCGACGAUCCGUAACUGGUCUGGGAGGAUGAUCAGUCACACUGGAACUGAGACACGCUUCAGACUCCUACGGGAUGGAGCAGUGGGGAAUAUUGGACAAUGGGCGAAAGCCUGAUCCAGCCAUGCCGCGUGUGUGAAUAAGGUCUUCGGAUUGUAAAGCACUUUAAGUUGGGAGGCGUUACCAACAGAAUAAGCACCGGCUAACUUCGUGCCAGCAGCCGCGGUAAUUC